rnacentral:rRNA from 1 species
UGGGGAAUUUUGGACAAUGGGGGCAACCCUGAUCCAGCAACGCCGCGUGAAUGAAGAAGGCCUUAGGGUUGUAAAGUUCUUUUGUCUGGGGACAAAAGUGCAUGGCUAAUACCGAUGCAUGAUGAGGGUACCAGAAGAAUAAGCACCGGCUAACUACGUGCCAGCAGCCGCGGUAAUACGUAGGGUGCGAGCGUUAAUCGGAAUUACUGGGCGUAAAGGGUGCGUAGGCGGAUAUAUAAGUUAGAUGUGAAAUCCCCGAGCUUAACUUGGGAAUGGCAUUUAAGACUGUAUGUCUAGAGUCUGUAAGAGGGGGGUAGAAUUCCGAGUGUAGCAGUGAAAUGCGUAGAGAUUCGGAGGAACACCAGUGGCGAAGGCGGCCCCCUGGUAUAAGACUGACGCU